rnacentral:rRNA from 1 species
UACGAAGGGGGCUAGCGUUGCUCGGAAUCACUGGGCGUAAAGCGCACGUAGGCGGAUUGCUAAGUCAGGGGUGAAAUCCUGGAGCUCAACUCCAGAACUGCCUUUGAUACUGGCGAUCUCGAGUCCGGAAGAGGCGAGUGGAACUCCUGGUGUAGCGGUGGAAUGCGCAGAUAUCAGGAAGAACACCAACGGCGAAGGCAGCUCGCUGGGACGGUACUGACGCUGAGGAGCGAAAGCCAGGGGAGCAAACGGG